rnacentral:rRNA from 1 species
AGUGGGGAAUAUUGGUCAAUGGGCGCAAGCCUGAACCAGCCAUGCCGCGUGAGUGAUGAAGGCCCUAGGGUUGUAAAGCUCUUUCGGCGGGGAAGAUAAUGACGGUACCCGCAGAAGAAGCCCCGGCUAACUUCGUGCCAGCAGCCGCGGUAAUACGAAGGGGGCUAGCGUUGUUCGGAAUCACUGGGCGUAAAGCGCGCGUAGGCGGAUCGUUAAGUCGGGGGUGAAAUCCCGAGGCUCAACCUCAGAACUGCCUUCGAUACUGGCGAUCUUGAGUCCGGGAGAGGUGAGUGGAACUCCUAGUGUAGAGGUGAAAUUCGUAGAUAUUAGGAAGAACACCAGUGGCGAAGGCGGCUCACUGGCCCGGUACUGACGCUGAUGUGCGACAGCGUGGGGAGCAAA